GUGAUUGAUGCCUCUUGUCCUUUACUAUGCCCUUCUAAUACCUCACUAAAACUUCCUUCUAGGCAGAUGAAGACAGCAAACAGACCCAUCCUUGAUCUUCUUCAGGCUGGAAAAUCUCACUUCCCCACAUGGCAUUCGCCAUUUGGCUUACAGUCAUGUCUGGCCCACAUUCCUGUAGGAGGUCUGCGUUUACUAUGACAUGAGAGUCCAUCAAAAGAAAAAGAGAGAUGUGAAAGAAAGAUUCUUGGAAAUCUGAUGACUGGAAAAAAUGAUAGUUCUUGCCAAGGAUUUUUCUGAAAACUGGAAAAAACAACAGGACUGGGGUCAGCUAUCUGUGGGUCUCUUGUUCUGCUGAGGAAACGAGACUGUGAGCCAAAGCCAGCUCCCUAGAGAGCUGCCAGAAAAGAUGCUUUGUCCCUGGGCUGUGAAGAUGAUUUUUCAUUUCCUGCUACUGUUAAAAAAUGAUAUCUCUGCACGGAGUUCUUGUGGCAUCUUCUCUGUUUGGUACAGUGAUCACAGCUUGAAGAAAUCAGGCAUGACUGUAAGUCUUAGAAAUCUCCACAAGUCAACAUGGUCACUUUUCCAAGAAGCAAAGCAGCUUGGUUUUGCAAGAAACUUCAACAAGAGGAUUUUCUAGCCACAGCUAUGGGUCAGUUGCUUCCAAGGAUCUCGCAAGCACAGAGAAGGGAAGAGACAAGAUAAGGAAGAAAACAAAACGAUCAUUUCAUUUUAAUCAAAUCCUUUCUUGAGGCUUGAGAAACUUUCUACUACUGUGUGCAUGUUUGUUUGUUUUUUUAAUUUCCACUUCCAUCUGCUUGUACACUUGUGACUUGCAGCUGAGACUACAAGCAAUAGUGCCAAAACACCAUGGGAAACACCAUACUUUCUAUUUUUCUUACCAGACAGUAAUAUCCUGAAGAAGAAACAAGCUGGUUCUCAUGAAAGUUUUUACCUGAGGACAGGCUUGGUCAUGUACUAGUUUGCCCUGUUUCCAUCACCAGCUAAAGAAGAAAAAGAAUAAACCGUACUGCAGGUUGAGAAGAAAUUCA
rnacentral:lncRNA from 1 species